rnacentral:rRNA from 1 species
GACGAACGCUGGCGGCGUGCCUAAUACAUGCAAGUCGAGCGAGACUCUUCGGAGUCUAGCGGCGGACGGGUGAGUAACACGUGGGCAACCUGCCUGUAAGACUGGGAUAACACCGGGAAGCCGGUGCUAAUACCGGAUAAUCCUUUUCCUCUCAUGAGGAAAAGCUGAAAGUCGGUUUCGGCUGACACUUACAGAUGGGCCCGCGGCGCAUUAGCUAGUUGGUGAGGUAACGGCUCACCAAGGCGACGAUGCGUAGCCGACCUGAGAGGGUGAUCGGCCACACUGGGACUGAGACACGGCCCAGACUCCUACGGGAGGCAGCAGUAGGGAAUCUUCCACAAUGGACGAAAGUCUGAUGGAGCAACGCCGCGUGAGCGAUGAAGGCCUUCGGGUCGUAAAGCUCUGUUGUUAGGGAAGAACAAGUACCGGAGUAACUGCCGGUACCUUGACGGUACCUAACCAGAAAGCCACGGCUAACUACGUGCCAGCCGCCGCGGUAACAC